rnacentral:rRNA from 1 species
AUUGAACGCUGGCGGCAUGCUUUACACAUGCAAGUCGAACGGUAACAGGGUGCUUGCACCGCUGACGAGUGGCGAACGGGUGAGUAAUGCAUCGGAACGUACCCAGUCGUGGGGGAUAACGUAGCGAAAGUUACGCUAAUACCGCAUACGUCCUGAGGGAGAAAGCGGGGGACCGUAAGGCCUCGCGCGAUUGGAGCGGCCGAUGUCGGAUUAGCUAGUUGGUAGGGUAAAGGCCUACCAAGGCGACGAUCCGUAGCGGGUCUGAGAGGAUGAUCCGCCACACUGGGACUGAGACACGGCCCAGACUCCUACGGGAGGCAGCAGUGGGGAAUUUUGGACAAUGGGCGAAAGCCUGAUCCAGCCAUGCCGCGUGAGUGAAGAAGGCCU